AUUGCUUCUCUGCCUUCUGGCUAAGAUCAAGUGUAGUAUCUGUUCUUACCAGUUUGAUAUCUGAUACGUCCUCUAUUUGAGGACAAUAUAGUAAACGGAUAUUUGGACCUGGGAGUUGGAAUAGGAGCGUGCUCUGUCCCCUCUGCAUGACCUGGUAUUGCAGUACCUCCAGGAUGCCCUCC